CCCCGCCCCACCGCGCCGAUUGGCUGGCAGCGGCUCCGCCCAGGUCCUGCAGGUCGCCUCUCCAACAUCUAUUUGCCUUUAGCUCAGGCCUGGCUCCUGAGCUCCUCUUGAUCAGAGAACCACGUACCACUUUGCCUCUGCACGGAUAUCCCACAAGCACCUCAGACUUGGCAUACCUCAACCUGAACUCAUCGCUUCCUUCCCACAACCUGCCCCUUCCUGAGUUUAUCUCAGCAAAUGGCACCAGCAAUCCCUGGCAUUUAUAACUCCAAACCUUCCUCUCUCACUGGGCAUAUUUGUUGACUUCCUACUCUGUGCUCCCACACAUCUUUCUAAAUACCCUACUCUAAAAAGACUUGAUACUUUUUCUUUGGCCAGCUAAAUCAAUCAUAGUGUUUCACGCAGUUCUUGGAAAUGCACUUGAUACCUUCAAUGGGUUCAGGCUCUAGUCUGAAACUCUUCUGUUUGCCUCCCUCAGUAGUAGGUAGUUAGACAUGAACAGAGCAGGAAUAAUAGGCCAGGUGCAGAGGGUCACCAGGACAAGAGCCCCAGGUGCCUAGCAAUGGGCAAAAACUACAAGCCCUUGUAGAGGACUACUCUCUUAAGCAUUAACCCCUGGAGAUGACAUCUAGGCCUCAGCUGGAUUUCAGCUCCAGGCCCAGACAAGCAGCAAAAUCAGACUGAGCUACUGCCCUAACUGACAUUAGGGUCUGCUGCAUUGACUAACAACCCCAUCCUGGCACCGACCAUUCAGUGGAAACCACAAACCUGAUGGGGAACACCUGGAAAGCUGAUGCAUACUCUGUUGAGAGCCUUCCCUGAGAUGUUAUGACAGGGACCUUGUGUGUGCUCUUUCUUUUUCUGGAGCAUCUACGUGCCUUUCCCCUUUCUUCCUCUUUCUCAUCUCUCAAGGUACACCCAUAUCUAUCUAUCUAUCUAUCUAUCUAUCUAUCUAUCUAUCUAUCUAUCUAUCAUCUAUCUAUCUAUCUACCUCCCCCUACCCCACCAAGCUCCAAGGGCCCUUCUUUUGACUCUGUAACUUGUUUCCUGAGCCCAUUUUUUUUUACGGCUCUCUUCUUCUACAUCUGUGACUUUCUAAAUAAACUUUCUGUUAUAGUUUGA